UUUCAAUACCAUCCCUAUGAUUUUAUUUUAGUAACUUAUAAUUUAAAGUGUAACAAUUUAUUAGUACUUUAUAAUUUCAUAUUUUUUCAUUUUAGUAUCCUAUGAUUUAAAGUGUAUCAAUUUAGCAUUCUGUGGUUUCAUCUUUCUCUUUUUGCCAGCUCCUUUGUUAAUAUUUCGUUAAAUUAUAUACAAAAAACUUCAGAUACCCUAUCUAGAUUUAUCGAAUAUUUAUUUUAAUACCCUUUAGUUUUAACUUUAUCACUAGUUUUUUUUUCCUCUGUUAAUAUUUCGUUAAAUUAUAUACAAAAAAAACUUCAGAUAUCUCAUCUAGUUUUAUUGAAUAUUCACUUUAGUACUCUUUAGUUUUAACUUCGUCACUGAUUUAACGAAAAAAAUUAGUGAAAUUGAUAAUGAAAAGGGAAAAAUGAAACCACAUAGUACUAACUUGAUACAUUUUAAACCACAGAGUACUAAAGAAAGAAAGUACGAAACCAUAGGGGCUAACUUGAUACACUUUAAAUCAUAGGAUACUAAACUGAGAAAGUGUGAAACCAAGGGGGG
rnacentral:lncRNA from 1 species